UAAAGAAUCACCGUUGAUGCAGCAGUAAAAGUUGAUAGAUUUAAGUAAUUCGACGUUGACCACAUUCAUUAAAACAAAAAUGGUUUCUCGUUCAUUUGUACUACUGACAUGUUUGGCUUUACUGGUGUGUUGUUGGCUGGUACAAGGACGCUAUUUACCAACAAGAUCUGAUAAAAACAGAAAAAGCCGAUUAAAGAAGUACUGCGAGAACUAUUAGAGUUAAGCCAGGAGGACAGCCAGGUAUACAACAGCCAGCAAUUUCAAGGCGGCUACAGACUUCCUCUAACUGGUGAAAAGCGACAUCUAUAUAAAGGCUUUAUUCGAACGUGAUUAUGCCUUCCGCCAUAACAAACAUUGGAUAAUUAUUAUUAUUCUUCAUUUUUUAUUACAGUUGGUUAAAAAGUAUAAUAAUUUUGUCCGCAUUACAAUCUUCGGAAACUUUUUUUGUGUAAAAAACAUUAAUAGUUUUCGAGAUUUAUAAAUAAAUGCACAUACGUACACAAUAAUGUUACAUUGUGGGUUAAGCAGCUUGAAUUUGGUUGAAGAAUAAAAGGUAAAAAAAAUAUCCUUUUAUACAAAAGAUUGAACGUGGAAGAGUUAACAUUUUCAACACAAUCUGGGAGAAAAGUGAAAAGUAUAUAAUUGAAAAAUUCUCAAUAGGUAAAUAUCAUUGUUCACAUUAUUCAGGAAAAGUAAUCAGAGUUAGAGUCAGUAAAAUUAAAUAUUUUGUGUGUUAAAUAGCAAGAGAUUUCUUAUUAGUAAUCAUAUCUAAAGUACAUUAUGUUCAUUACUAAUCGUAUGCUUGUUUGUUUUCAGUCUUUAGGCUAAUAUUGCCAUUAUAAAUUGAUUGUAUAACAACUAUGUACAACCUUCAUCAAAAAGUUUAUAGCAUUUGGAUUGAUAGAGAAAUAGACGUAUACAAUACAAAUAAAAUGUAUUGAGGAAAAAUACAAAUAUUUGUAGAAUAUUCGAUAGAGCAAGCUGAAUGUCGGACAAAA